rnacentral:lncRNA from 1 species
GCGACCGAAUUAGUCUCCCUGUUGCAAUGUCUGGGACCAAAUCAACACAAUCCAGGGAGUUUGUUGUUGUUGAGAACUGCCAAACAAUGAAAUAAUUAAGUUGAUAUAAUUCACCUGUGUUCAGUUUUUUUUGUUGCCUUUAAGGUGUAUCUUUGUUUUUUGUUUUUGUUUUUGUUUAGAAUCAACCUUUGAUAGUUUCUUUGUGAUUGCAUGAAUCGGCCCAAUUUUUGUUCAUAAACGUAAAGCCCCAGAAAUGGCGUCAAGCUAAGGAUUUCCUCGAUCUAAAAAAACGCAGCCAAGGAUUUCAUAUAAAUCAGUAAUCACCCUCAAGGUUAAGACGCUUACUACCUAAUCUGAACGAGGAGAACAACACCUUACAUCCCUACAAGAAGAAACAAAUGUCUUAACAAAGAUUAAAAAAAAAACUCCAGAAGAGGUGUACACACGGUU